CCUGCCUUCAGAGGCUUUUGCAGGUGUGCCUGCUGUGUCCCAUGUGUGACAAUAGGUGGCAGGGAGGUGAAAGGCUAUGUCUAUGCUUAAUGUUCUGACCUGUGAACCUUUGAUUGCUUAGUGAUGAAACACU